UUAAGUUAUUAAGGGCGCACGGUGGAUCCCUUGGCCCAAGAAGCCGAUGAAGGACGUUACUAACGACGAUAUGCUUUGGGGAGCUGUAAGUAAGCUUUGAUCCAGAGAUUUCCGAAUGGGGAAACCCAGCAUGAGUUAUGUCAUGUUAUCGAUAUGUGAAUACAUAGCAUAUCAGAAGGCACACCCGGAGAACUGAAACAUCUUAGUACCCGGAGGAAGAGAAAGAAAAUUCGAUUCCCUUAGUAGCGGCGAGCGAAAUGGGGAGAGGCCAAACCAACAAGCUUGCUUGUUGGGGUUGUAGGACACUCUAUACGGAGUUACAAAGGACGACAUUAGACGAAUCAUCUGGAAAGAUGAAUCAAAGAAGGUAAUAAUCCUGUAGUCGAAAAUGUUGUCUCUCUUGAGUGGAUCCUGAGUACGACGGAGCACGUGAAAUUCCGUCGGAAUCUGGGAGGACCAUCUCCUAAGGCUAAAUACUCUCUAGUGACCGAUAGUGAACCAGUACCGUGAGGGAAAGGUGAAAAGCACCCCGGAAGGGGAGUGAAAUAGAACCUGAAACCGUGUGCUUACAAGUAGUCAGAGCCCGUUAAUGGGUGAUGGCGUGCCUUUUGUAGAAUGAACCGGCGAGUUACGAUUUGAUGCAAGGUUAAGCAGUAAAUGUGGAGCCGUAGCGAAAGCGAGUCUGAAUAGGGCGUUUAGUAUUUGGUCGUAGACCCGAAACCAGGUGAUCUACCCUUGGUCAGGUUGAAGUUCAGGUAACACUGAAUGGAGGACCGAACCGACUUACGUUGAAAAGUGAGCGGAUGAACUGAGGGUAGCGGAGAAAUUUCAAUCGAACCUGGAGAUAGCUGGUUCUCUCCGAAAUAGCUUUAGGGCUAGCCUCAAGUGAUGAUUAUUGGAGGUAGAGCACUGUUUGGACGAGGGGCCCCUCUCGGGUUACCGAAUUCAGACAAACUCCGAAUGCCAAUUAAUUUAACUUGGGAGUCAGAACAUGGGUGAUAAGGUCCGUGUUCGAAAGGGAAACAGCCCAGACCACCAGCUAAGGUCCCAAAAUAUAUGUUAAGUGGAAAAGGAUGUGGCGUUGCCCAGACAACUAGGAUGUUGGCUUAGAAGCAGCCAUCAUUUAAAGAGUGCGUAAUAGCUCACUAGUCGAGUGACACUGCGCCGAAAAUGUACCGGGGCUAAACAUAUUACCGAAGCUGUGGAUUGUCCUUUGGACAAUGGUAGGAGAGCGUUCUAAGGGCGUUGAAGCAUGAUCGUAAGGACAUGUGGAGCGCUUAGAAGUGAGAAUGCCGGUGUGAGUAGCGAAAGACGGGUGAGAAUCCCGUCCACCGAUUGACUAAGGUUUCCAGAGGAAGGCUCGUCCGCUCUGGGGUAGUCGGGUCCUAAGCUGAGGCCGACAGGCGUAGGCGAUGGAUAACAGGUUGAUAUUCCUGUACCACCUAUAAUCGAUUUAAUCGAUGGGGGGACGCAGUAGGAUAGGCGAAGCGUGCGAUUGGAUUGCACGUCUAAGCAGUAAGGCUGAGUAUUAGGCAAAUCCGGUACUCGUUAAGGCUGAGCUGUGAUGGGGAGAAGACAUUGUGUCUUCGAGUCGUUGAUUUCACACUGCCGAGAAAAGCCUCUAGAUAGAAAAUAGGUGCCCGUACCGCAAACCGACACAGGUAGUCAAGAUGAGAAUUCUAAGGUGAGCGAGCGAACUCUCGUUAAGGAACUCGGCAAAAUGACCCCGUAACUUCGGGAGAAGGGGUGCUCUUUAGGGUUAACGCCCAGAAGAGCCGCAGUGAAUAGGCCCAAGCGACUGUUUAUCAAAAACACAGGUCUCUGCUAAACCGUAAGGUGAUGUAUAGGGGCUGACGCCUGCCCGGUGCUGGAAGGUUAAGAGGAGUGGUUAGCUUCUGCGAAGCUACGAAUCGAAGCCCCAGUAAACGGCGGCCGUAACUAUAACGGUCCUAAGGUAGCGAAAUUCCUUGUCGGGUAAGUUCCGACCCGCACGAAAGGCGUAACGAUUUGGGCACUGUCUCAACGAGAGACUCGGUGAAAUCAUAGUACCUGUGAAGAUGCAGGUUACCCGCGACAGGACGGAAAGACCCCGUGGAGCUUUACUGUAGCCUGAUAUUGAAAUUCGGCACAGCUUGUACAGGAUAGGUAGGAGCCUUUGAAACGUGAGCGCUAGCUUACGUGGAGGCGCUGGUGGGAUACUACCCUAGCUGUGUUGGCUUUCUAACCCGCACCACUUAUCGUGGUGGGAGACAGUGUCAGGCGGGCAGUUUGACUGGGGCGGUCGCCUCCUAAAAGGUAACGGAGGCGCUCAAAGGGUCCCUCAGAAUGGUUGGAAAUCAUUCAUAGAGUGUAAAGGCAUAAGGGAGCUUGACUGCGAGACCUACAAGUCGAGCAGGGUCGAAAGACGGACUUAGUGAUCCGGUGGUUCCGCAUGGAAGGGCCAUCGCUCAACGGAUAAAAGCUACCCCGGGGAUAACAGGCUUAUCUCCCCCAAGAGUUCACAUCGACGGGGAGGUUUGGCACCUCGAUGUCGGCUCAUCGCAUCCUGGGGCUGUAGUCGGUCCCAAGGGUUGGGCUGUUCGCCCAUUAAAGCGGUACGCGAGCUGGGUUCAGAACGUCGUGAGACAGUUCGGUCCCUAUCCGUCGUGGGCGUAGGAAAUUUGAGAGGAGCUGUCCUUAGUACGAGAGGACCGGGAUGGACAUACCUCUGGUGUACCAGUUGUCGUGCCAACGGCAUAGCUGGGAAGCUAUGUGUGGACGGGAUAAGUGCUGAAAGCAUCUAAGCAUGAAGCCCCCCUCAAGAUGAGAUUUCCCAACUUCGGUUAUAAGAUCCCUCAAAGAUGAUGAGGUUAAUAGGUUCGAGGUGGAAGCAUGGUGACAUGUGGAGCUGACGAAUACUAAUCGAUCGAAGACUUAAUCAA
rnacentral:rRNA from 1 species